rnacentral:rRNA from 1 species
GUGGGGAAUAUUGGACAAUGGGCGCAAGCCUGAUCCAGCAAUGCCGCGUGGGUGAAGAAGGUCUUCGGAUCGUAAAGCCCUUUCGACAGGGACGAUGAUGACGGUACCUGUAGAAGAAGCCCCGGCUAACUUCGUGCCAGCAGCCGCGGUAAUACGAAGGGGGCUAGCGUUACUCGGAAUUACUGGGCGUAAAGGGCGCGUAGGCGGCUCUGUUAGUCAGGCGUGAAAUUCCUGGGCUUAACCUGGGGACUGCGCUUGAUACUGCAGGGCUUGAGGCCGAGAGAGGGUGGUGGAAUUCCCAGUGUAGAGGUGAAAUUCGUAGAUAUUGGGAAGAACACCGGUGGCGAAGGCGACCACCUGGCUCGGUUCUGACGCUGAGGCGCGACAGCGUGGGGAGCAAACAGGAUUAGAUACCCUAGUAGUCC